rnacentral:rRNA from 1 species
ACGGUGGAUGCCUUGGCAGUCAGAGGCGAUGAAAGGCGUAAUAACUUGCGAUAAGCCCAGAUUAGGUAGUAAUAACCUUUGAGUCUGGGAUUCCUGAAUGGGGAAACCCACUUACAUAAGUAAGUAUCCUGUUGUGAAUACAUAGCAACAGGAGGCAAACCGGGGGAACUGAAACAUCUAAGUACCCCGAGGAAGAGAAAUCAACCGAGAUUCCGAAAGUAGCGGCGAGCGAAAUUGGAUUAGCCCUUAAGCUUUUAAUGAGACAGAUGAAGGCUCUGGAAAGUGCCGCAGUAAAGGGUGAUAGCCCCGUAAUCGACAUCUCAUCAUCAGUGAAAACGAGUAGGGCGGGACACGUGAUAUCCUGUCUGAAUAUGGGGGGACCAUCCUCCAAGGCUAAAUACUACUGACUGACCGAUAGUGAACCAGUACCGUGAGGGAAAGGCGAAAAGAACCCCUGUGAGGGGAGUGAAAUAGAACCUGAAACCGUGUACGUACAAGCAGUAGGAGCACCUUCGUGGUGUGACUGCGUACCUUUUGUAUAAUGGGUCAGCGACUUAAUUUUAGUAGCAAGGUUAACCGUUUAGGGGAGCCGUAGGGAAACCGAGUCUUAACUGGGCGUACAGUUGCUAGGAUUAGACCCGAAACCAGGUGAUCUAGCCAUGGGCAGGUUGAAGGUUGAGUAACAUCAACUGGAGGACCGAACCGACUAAUGUUGAAAAAUUAGCGGAUGACUUGUGGCUAGGGGUGAAAGGCCAAUCAAACCUGGAGAUAGCUGGUUCUCCCCGAAAGCUAUUUAGGUAGCGCCUCGGACGAAUACUACUGGGGGUAGAGCACUGUUAAGGCUAGGGGGUCAUCCCGACUUACCAACCCUUUGCAAACUCCGAAUACCAGUAAGUACUAUCCGGGAGACACACGGCGGGUGCUAACGUCCGUCGUGGAGAGGGAAACAACCCAGACCGCCAGCUAAGGUCCCAAAGUAUAGCUAAGUGGGAAACGAUGUGGGAAGGCUCAGACAGCCAGGAUGUUGGCUUAGAAGCAGCCAUCAUUUAAAGAAAGCGUAAUAGCUCACUGGUCGAGUCGGCCUGCGCGGAAGAUGUAACGGGGCUAAGCUAUACACCGAAGCUGCGGCUACGUACCUUAGGGUAUGUGGGGUAGGGGAGCGUUCUGUAAGCCGUUGAAGGUGGUCUGUAAGGGCUGCUGGAGGUAUCAGAAGUGCGAAUGCUGACAUGAGUAACGAUAAAGGGAGUGAAAAACUCCCUCGCCGGAAGACCAAGGGUUCCUGUCCAACGUUAAUCGGGGCAGGGUAAGUCGACUCCUAAGGCGAGGCCGAAAGGCGUAGUCGAUGGGAAACGGGUUAAUAUUCCCGUACUUCUUACAAUUGCGAUGGGGGGACGGAGAA